GCCGGGAUGGCGGAAUUGGUUUACGCGAACGACUCAAAAUCGUUUGGGGGCAACCCCGUGGGAGUUCGAGUCUCCCUCCCGGCA
rnacentral:tRNA from 1 species